rnacentral:rRNA from 1 species
GUGGGGAAUUUUGGACAAUGGGCGCAAGCCUGAUCCAGCCAUGCCGCGUGAGUGAAGAAGGCCUUCGGGUUGUAAAGCUCUUUCGGCCGGGAAGAAAUCGGCGACUCUAACAUAGUCGCUGGAUGACGGUACCGGACUAAGAAGCACCGGCUAACUACGUGCCAGCAGCCGCGGUAAUACGUAGGGUGCGAGCGUUAAUCGGAAUUACUGGGCGUAAAGCGUGCGCAGGCGGUUUUGUAAGACAGAUGUGAAAUCCCCGGGCUUAACCUGGGAACUGCGUUUGUGACUGCAAGGCUAGAGUACGGCAGAGGGGGGUGGAAUUCCUGGUGUAGCAGUGAAAUGCGUAGAUAUCAGGAGGAACACCGAUGGCGAAGGCAGCCCCCUGGGCCUGUACUGACGCUCAUGCACGAAAGCGUGGGGAGCAAACAGGAUUAGAUACCCAGUAGUCC